rnacentral:rRNA from 1 species
GGCCAGACUCCUACGGGAGGCAGCAGUAGGGAAUAUUGCUCAAUGGGGGAAACCCUGAAGCAGCAACGCCGCGUGGAGGAUGAAGGUUUUCGGAUUGUAAACUCCUUUUGUUAGAGAAGAUAAUGACGGUAUCUAACGAAUAAGCACCGGCUAACUCCGUGCCAGCAGCCGCGGUAAUACGUAGGGAGCGAGCGUUGUCCGGAAUUACUGGGCGUAAAGGGCGCGUAGGCGGGAACUUAAGUUAGAUGUGAAAACUCCGGGCUCAACCUGGAGACUGCAUUUAAAACUGGGUUUCUUGAGGGCAGGAGAGGAAAGUGGAAUUCCUAGUGUAGCGGUGAAAUGCGUAGAUAUUAGGAGGAACACCAGUGGCGAAGGCGACUUUCUGGACUGUACCUGACGCUGAGGCGCGAAAGCAUGGGGAGCGAACAGGAUUAGAUACCCCGGUA